CUAGCCUGCCAGAAGUUUGAGAGGGUGAAGACUGGCGCUGGAGUUGAAGCCCAUCAAAGUUCUUUCACCAUGGCACAUGAUCGGGGUGGACUUCAUCAGACCCUUCAUGAAAUCCAGGAACGGCAACAGCUGGUGUCUGACGGCGACCAAUCACUUUACCAAGUGGGUGGAGCUAUACCCCUUAAGGACGAGACUUGUGAGGCCACCUUCAAGGUGAUGGUAGAUAUCUUCAACACCCACGGUUCUCCUGAGAUCAUCUUGAGUGACCGAGGUCAUGAAUGCUGGAACAAGGUUUGGUGAAUGUACCAACCAGACCCUCAAGACUGCCAUGGGCAAGUCCCUUAAUUGGUACCAGGAAGGGAGGGAGAACAACCUGAAGUCGUCAAACCAGAUCAGAAUUCCUUUGAGGACCACCUUCAGGCACGGACUGAGAAGGAUGUGGAGGUUUUUCACCAGAUGAGACUGAACAUCGACAAGGCCCAGGAAAACUGAAGGAGAGCUACCAGAGCAGAAUCAAGAAGGGGACCAAGUGCUACGAGAUCCUGGCAAAUGACUCAGUUUGGAAGAAGGACAAAAGGAAGGCGAGACCUGGGAAACCUUGCUGCUCUUCCGCUCCCAGCUGGGGUCACCAUCUGUUAGUGAACAUAAAAAAUCUCAGAUAAUAACUAUUUGUAUUUGACACAAAAUAACCUGAAGCUAUUUUUAGUUUCCCUAACUCUGAUAGUUUACUCUUUGUCUUCCUCGGGUUACAUCGGUGGAAGCCAACAAUUUUCUACAGUUGGAGCAGUUGGAUGGUGGACCACAAAAAGCAUUGACGUCCCUCACUUCAGUGGAGCCCAAUAGACAAAGAAUGUUGAGCUUUGGUUGUUGACAUUUGAGAAAGCAAGAAAUGGUAGUUAUGCUGAACUUUUAAAAAUGUACCUCUUCAAUUUACCUCUCCAAAUGACUUUAGGACCAUCGACUGUCCAAGCCCAAGAGGUAUCCCUUGAGGACCUAGGGGUUCUGCCCAACACCCAGACAUGGAUCCACCUGAUGUCCUCCAUUACUAACCACCCUCCAACUUUUCAUAACAUCAUCUACAGCUCCUGUUGUUGUCAUGUUGUCAUCAUCUGCUAAUAAAGUUUUUUGCUCUAUUAUACUGGGAGAUACACAGAUUAACCAAAAACACUAGCACUGCAAACACUCAGAACAAAGAGAGCAGCAGUGCCUGAACUUUGCAGUCUCCCUCUUCAAGUCUCCCUCUUCAAUCUAUGAUUGCCAUGUGAGUGCACAAAAAAACUGUGAAAAUAAAUUAAUGACAAACUGUACCAAAAAUGAUCAAAGUUUAUGUAUUAAAAUCUUAAAUAUUGCCAGGUUGGU